AUUGAACGCUGGCGGCAGGCUUAACACAUGCAAGUCGAGCGGGGAAAAGUAGCUUGCUACUGGACCUAGCGGCGGACGGGUGAGUAAUGCUUAGGAAUCUGCCUAUUAGUGGGGGACAACAUCUCGAAAGGGAUGCUAAUACCGCAUACGUCCUACGGGAGAAAGCAGGGGACCUUCGGGCCUUGCGCUAAUAGAUGAGCCUAAGUCGGAUUAGCUAGUUGGUGGGGUAAAGGCCUACCAAGGCGACGAUCUGUAGCGGGUCUGAGAGGAGGAUCCGCCACACUGGGACUGAGACACGGCCCAGACCCCUACGGGAGGCAGCAGUGGGGAAUAUUGGACAAUGGGGGGAACCCUGAUCCAGCCAUGCCGCGUGUGUGAAGAAGGCCUUUUGGUUGUAAAGCACUUUAAGCGAGGAGGAGGCUACCGAGAUUAAUACUCUUGGAUAGUGGACGUUACUCGCAGAAUAAGCACCGGCUAACUCUGUGCCAGCCGCCGCCGUAAGAC
rnacentral:rRNA from 1 species